ensembl:lncRNA
UUUGCUGCCAGGAGAGACUGGUCUGUGCUGCUCUGGGAGGAGCCUGAUCUCCUAGCCAAGUCCUUGGCCACACGCUACUUAUCAGAAGUGUUGUGUGAUAGCUGUCGGAAAUUAGUGAAGAGAGUCCCAGGCAGGAAAGCAGGUAAGAGAGUUGCUGGAGGCAGAACUGAAGCCCAUUAUUGAACACUGGUGGCCGCUUGGAAAUGCUAAGUGGAGACAGCUUGUGGGCUGAGGAGAGAGGAAGGGGCAGAGUCUGAGACCCCUGAGCUAGAGCAGACAGUACCAUAGACAGAGCCCCGGAUAAGACCUGAGGCUCAAGAAGGAGGGGCCCUUCUGCUGCCAGGAACAAGGACCCAUGUUCUGUGAACCCCUCACUCUUGGUGUGCUGGUAUACAAGAAAUCAGAGUCCUUAGGAUGAAGAAAUCUUAGAGAUCAACUGUUGCGACCCCCUAACUGAAGCCAACGUCUCCACAUGGGGAACACAUGGAUUGCCACACCCCAUUGGAAGCAUUUUCCCUUCUGUCAUCAGUAUCACGCUCUGUGGAGAGCAUCUUCCAGCCUCCAGAGGACAGGUUUUACAGGUUGCCGAGGAACUGGAUUGAUUUUGGAGAGCCUUGAAUGCCAUGUGGAGUUUGGACUUGAAGCUGAGAUUUUAAACAAUCCCGUGCUGCUGCUGACCCCAUGUUAGAUUUGCCUUGCCAUGUGAAAAAGAGCAACAUCCCACACUUGCCCAUCCUGUGCCCUUUCUUGCUUGAAGCUACAGCAACUCACAAAACCUGUCAUCUGUCCUGGGCUGCAAGAGGCUUUGACUUUGCCUGUGCGUGGCCCCUGGGAGUCCAGAUGUUUUCACUGCAGGGGAAGGAGCUCAUUUGGAAAAAAAAAAAAAAUCCAAUUGUUUGUAAUGUGAUGCAAUUUUCUCUUGAAAUCAAUUAGCGUCUCCCUAAUUCCUCUGCAUACAAUUGCUUUCAAAAAUAAAUUCCAGGUUCCAUGUC